rnacentral:lncRNA from 1 species
GGUGUCGAAGAUCACAGGUGAAAGCUUGGCAGCUCAGGAGGGUUUGUCAGGAGGACAUGGAGACCCUGUGGUGCAGAAGCUACUGAGCCUGUCAUAAUGGAGCUGUCCAUCCUCACCCUCCAAUCUCCUUUUCUGGCUCGACUCUUCACAUGGCUUCUCCGUGGCUAAUCCUCAGCUCAGAUGCCUGUGGACUUUCUAGACAAACUCCAAGGCCUCCUGGGCUUUGUGGUCAAAGCUGCGUUGGACUCUUCUGCAGGGGAGGAAAGGGAAGUAGUAAGGGUGUCCCCAAACACACCAAAGACUUGGGUGAGCAAGGCCGAGCUUUCUGGAAACACUACUGCUCGAUUCCCACAGAAGUAGCAAGAGGGCAAAAGAAAAAUCCCUUAUGGCUCCUUCACAGCAGUUUUAUACCCUUUUUUGUUUGUUUUUUCUGA